rnacentral:rRNA from 1 species
UCCUUCGGGAGGCAGCAGUGGGGAAUAUUGGACAAUGGGGGGAACCCUGAUCCAACCAUUCCGCGUGUGUGAAGAAGGCUUUAUGGUUGUAAAGCCCUUUAAGCGAGGAGGAGACUCUUUUAGUUAAUACCUAAGAUGAGUGACGUACUCGCA